CAGCAUCUGCCCGGAGAGAGGCAGUGCAAGGAUUCAGCUCACUGCUGCUGAACGGGCAAACUCCCAGGCCAAAGAGAAGAAUUGAAAAGCCUGUUUGGCUGAGGCAGCACACUGUUGUGCCAUGCGGGCCGCUACAAAGAGCCCAGGAGAUAUCAGCAGAUUAUUUACGGUGGUCAUUACCUGCAGCUUCCAGCACCUUCUGGCUAUCCAAACUUAGGGAGGAAAUUAGGGAGAUUAAUUCUUUCUUCAGUGAAAAGAUUAAUAACUCUAAUUAAUUGAGGGUAAGAAAACCAGAUUGCAGGGCAGUACUGAAAAAAUAAACUAUAGACCCCUAUACAGGAGCAAAAAAAUAAUGAUAAAGGACCCCGAGCACUUGGGAAUGAGAAGUGUACAGAAGUGGGCCAAAGUCACAAGCAAGCACUGGGGAGCAUAAAGUGGGCAGCAAGCUGAUAAGAAGCUGAUAUGGAGGGAAGAGUUGCACCUGUCUGCAGCAGCUGCAAUGCAUGGGAGGUAAAUGGGAGGUAAAUAUCACCGGGAAGAGGUCUGUAUGAUAAAUUCCUGUAAAAUAAAUAACUAUUGCUCCUCUGAGCAUUUAGCCAAGCACAGUACACUUUCCUGGACACUCUCUCAGGAGUCUUGGUUAAAGCAAUGCAUCUUUAACAAGUCCUCGGCAUCCAAGAGCUGAUGAGAGCAGCCCAGUAACACCAGCCCCUGCAGACAGGUUGCAGCAAGGGCAGUGCCACCAGGGGCUGCAGGGACAGUUUGUGCUGGGACAUUGCUACUGAUCGUGGCCAACAGCUUCUCAUAAGACAGGAAGGGGAGAGCCUUGACUUUUUCAGCCAGCUGUGGGCUACAUGGAGAAACAAUACUAGGAAAGAGAAAGGGAAAGCAUGUGACAGAAGGGUGAUUUCUGCGCAUGUGUAAAUCAAACCAAUUGAAAGCAGCUAGAACCAGAUUCUAACAUCAUUUUCAGCUUUAGUUGAGUUGAUUGGAAAGCCCCUUUUUCUCCUAACCCGAAUUUUAUUCUCUUUUUGGAGAGAAGAUUGUAGCAAAACACCAAGAGGUCAUGGGCCGUUACAGGUUUUUUAAGCAGGAGGUCAGUCUAGCUUCAAAUGUGAUGCUCCAUUCCCUGAGGUACUUCUUCCUCUUACAUAUCUCCUCUUUAAGAGAAGCCAGUGACUGGCUGUUGUGCACGGGGACAACUUCUGAUGCUGACCUUUACUGGCUGGCACCUGCCCAAUGAGGGCAGCAUCCUCAGCAUUUUCCAAAUGCCUGAGCUUGAGCAGCAUCCCUCUGGCUGGAUCUAUCAGCUCUACGUCAGAGCCCUGAGAAUGGUGGUGUGACAGCAAAUACGUGGUUUGAAAAUGUCUUUGGUGCUGCCCUGUUGUAUGAGUCGCAUUUGCUGAGGUGGCCUCAGAAGUGCCAAAGGGAAAGGUGCAUGAAUGCAGGAGCCAGGUGCUCGUAUCCAGAGUGGAGGAGUGCAGGAGUGCUGUUAGUGGGAAGGGAGAGGCUGUUGGUGAGAGGAGCAGAGAGCAACCCCUUCAGUGAGAUGAAGGCAGAGAGGGAACAAAUAUCACAGGAGUUUCACAGUGCUGUCAUGCUGCAGCUCUGCCCUCUGACCCCACCGCGCUGCCCUGUGCCUGCAGGCACUGCUUUGGGCUGAGCUGUGCAUCACAAGUGUGCCCGUGGGCUCAAAGCUCUGAGGCUGGGGUGCUGGGAUAUGCAGUUUCCCUGUGACACUUCUUCUUUCCUGUCUCCUCUUCAAGAGAAACUCUGAAUAGAGAAAUCCCCUUGUCCUUACUGGGGACUUCAACUUGCUGGAUGUUAACUGAGAACACCACACAGCUGAUACAGGCCGGUCCAGGAGAUUGCUAAAACAGCUCCGUGACAAAAUCCUGGUGCAGAUACUAAAGGAGCUGACAAGGAAACCUGCCAUCCUGGAUCUGCUGUUUGUGAACAGAGAAGGUCUAGUGGAUGAUGUAGUGAUGGUGGCCAUCUUGGCUAUAGUGAC
ensembl:lncRNA